UACGGAGGAAAAGAAACCAACAGGGAUUGCCUCAGUAGCGGCGAGUGAAGCGGCAAAAGCUCAAAUUUGAAAUCUGGCGUCUUUGGCGUCCGAGUUGUAAUUUGAAGAAGGUAUCUUUGGGCCCGGCUCUUGUCUAUGUUCCUUGGAACAGGACGUCACAGAGGGUGAGAAUCCCGUGCGAUGAGAUGACCCGGGUCUGUGUAAAGUUCCUUCGACGAGUCGAGUUGUUUGGGAAUGCAGCUCUAAGUGGGUGGUAAAUUCCAUCUAAAGCUAAAUAUUGGCGAGAGACCGAUAGCGAACAAGUACAGUGAUGGAAAGAUGAAAAGAACUUUGAAAAGAGAGUGAAAAAGUACGUGAAAUUGUUGAAAGGGAAGGGCUUGAGAUCAGACUUGGUAUUUUGCAUGUUGCUCUCUCGGGGGCGGCCGCUGCGGUUUACCGGGCCAGCAUCGGUUUGGAGCGGCAGGAUAAUGGCGGAGGAAUGUGGCACGGCUUCUGCUGUGUGUUAUAGCCUCUGACGAUACUGCCAGCCUAGACCGAGGACUGCGGUUUUUACCUAGGAUGUUGGCAUAAUGAUCUUAAGUCGCCCGUCUA
rnacentral:rRNA from 1 species